rnacentral:rRNA from 1 species
GAUGAACGCUGGCGGCGUGCCUAAUACAUGCAAGUCGAGCGAAUGGAUUAAGAGCUUGCUCUUAUGAAGUUAGCGGCGGACGGGUGAGUAACACGUGGGUAACCUGCCCAUAAGACUGGGAUAACUCCGGGAAACCGGGGCUAAUACCGGAUAACAUUUUGAACCGCAUGGUUCGAAAUUGAAAGGCGGCUUCGGCUGUCACUUAUGGAUGGACCCGCGUCGCAUUAGCUAGUUGGUGAGGUAACGGCUCACCAAGGCAACGAUGCGUAGCCGGCCUGAGGGGGUGGUCGGCCACACGGGGACGGAGACACGGCCCAGACUCCUACGGGGGGCAGCAGUAGGGAAUCUUCCGCAAUGGACGAAAGUCUGACGGAGCAACGCCGCGUGAGUGAUGAAGGCUUUCGGGUCGUAAAACUCUGUUGUUAGGGAAGAACAAGUGCUAGUUGAAUAAGCUGGCACCUUGACGGUACCUAACCAGAAAGCCACGGCUAACUACGUGCCAGCCACCGCGGUAA